rnacentral:lncRNA from 1 species
AUUCCUCUUCCAAAGACUUGCUGAGCACCUUCUAGGUGCCAGAUGCGGUGCUGGCUCCUGGGGACAUGGGAGUGAACAGGCCAGGCGUGGCCCUGAACCAUCAAAUAGACAACCACAGAAAUAACAACGAAUGAUGCUGGAGGCUGACGAAGAUAAGGGUGGAAAGUGGGCAAUAAAUCAGGAGCUGUUGCAACAUUCCCAGCAAAGGAUAAUGGUGAAUAACAAAGACAAAACCGGGCCCUUCCACACAGUAGCUGGAACACAAAGGAAGAUCAGCCAAGCCUCAACAUAAUCUCAUAAAAAUUCUUCAAAUAUCCCAUUGUUAUGGAUUCAUACAUCAGGAAAGCAGAUGCCAAGAACCUGAACACCUUCUACUGGUAACAUAUAUUUUGGCGAGCCAGCCUGGAGACAAGACCACUAUGGGCAACUUCCUGUCUAUUCUACCUGGUGUCACUGUGGACAACUUCCUAUCUAUUCCACCCGAUUCACCGCUUGGCUACAUCCUCCACCAUUGGGAUGAAUUUGACCCUAACAAUCUAAAGAAAAGGCAUAUGAUUUUUUACUGCAAUAUUGUUUGACACAAUUAUGAGCUGCCCAAUCCGGAACAAUGGGCAGUCAAUGGUAGCCUUAAUUAUGAUACCAUCCUGUAUCUAGACCUAUUUUACAAGAGGCAGGGCAAAUGGUCAGAAGUCCCACAUAUACAGGCCUACAUGACCCUAUACGAAGACCUAAGAAUCUAGGAAACUCCCAGAACCCAUCCCCCGAAGGAAAGUUCUGGGGCAGAACUAGAUAUUAUAGAUGAACCCCCUUUUACAAGGGAUACCUGUCUCUCAGAGUGAGCAGUGACUGUCCCCAUAUAACCCCUCACCAAGUGCUCCUGAGGCUGAAACCCAGGGGCAAACAUGGGGAACCCUACUAAGUCCCCCUCACACUUGGAGGGGAACACUGUAUUCAACUCUCUAUCCAGCCCUGCUACUCUCAGAGAAAUAGCAGGGGCUGAGGGGCCAAUCCUAGUGUGGGUCCCCUUCUCUAUGAUUGAUAUACAACAAUGUAAGGAAAAGCUAGGAAGCUAUUCUGAGGAUUCCGGGAAGUUUGCAGAUGGGUUCCAAACUUUGACCUUAGCCUUUGAUCUCUCAUGGAGAGACGUUCAAUUCACUCUAGCAACCUGUUGCACCUCCUCGGAAAAGGAACGAAUCUUUGAGGCUGCCCUCCGAGAAGUGGACGAAUUAUUCACCCAAAACCGUAAAGGCAGUCACCCAGGCCCAGCCACAGUUCCCACUACGCAUCCUAAUUGAGACCAAGACACCCCCGCAGGAAGGAACAACUGGGCUAAAUUUCUUGAGGCUCUUGGAGGAAUGAGAAAGGGAAUAACUAAGGCAGUAAAUUAUGAUAAAGUAAGGCAGAUUACACAAGGCAGGGAGGAAAACCCAGCUGUGUUUUACGGCAGGCUGCGGGAAGCCUUUAAAAAAUAUAUACUAAUUUGGUCCCUUCCUCUCCUGAAGGCAAGUUAUUAAUGGCACAACGUUUCAUUAGCCAAUCCACACCAGACAUUAGACGUAAGCUCCAAAAGCUACACAUGGGGCCACAAACUAACCAAAAUCAGCUUCUUGGUACUGCCUUCAUGGUGUAUAACAAUCGUGACCUGGAGGAAGGAGAAGGGAAACAGAGUAAAGAAAAACGGCAAGCCAAAAUUAUGUUAGCCAUCACUGGUGAUGCCCUAAAUGCACAAAGAUUGUCCAAGGGAAACUCAAAGGGCCAUAAGGAUAAUGCCAGCAAAGGCUCUUGCUUCAAAUGCAAUAAAAGUGCGAUUGGGCACAGGAAUCCACUAAGCCCCCGCCAGUCCCCUGCCGUCAAUGUAAAAGCACCAGUUGUGGCUCCUGGCCCUGGAGAAUUGACUGUCCCUGCUCCCACCAAGGGGCUCAGUCAGUCAAAACUCUGGCAGUGCACAAGGAGGAAUCAGAUGAAGACUGAAGGGGCCUGGGGCCUUCCUCACUGCCCCGUCUAGGAACAUUGUAAUUACUACUGAGGAACCCUGGGUAACUCUGGACAUCAUGGCCACCCAAAUUCAGUUUUUAUGUGAUACCAAGGUGAAUUAUUCUGUACAACUGCUUAUGCAGGAAAACUUUCCUCCCGGUCCAUGAGUGAUAUUGGAUGGAAGGGAAGCCACAAACAAGAUUCUUACUCCUCCUUUGGUUUGUCAAUUUGAGAAACAAAUCUUCCAACAGGAAUUUUUAGUAGUACCAAGCUGCCCAAUUCCCCUGUGGGAAAGAGAUAUUAUGGUGAAAAUAGUGACACUACUGCAAUUUAAGCAAUAUUAGCAGGUGAAACUGCUAAUAGUAAGAAAUAAGGCAAUGUCCCAGACCAUGUCAAUAAACAGGUUAACCCACUGGCAUGGUAUACUGGAAACCCAGGGAAGGCUAAAACAGCAGUGCCAGUCAAAAUACAGCUUAAAGACCCCAGCCAUUUUCCCAAUGGAAAACAAUACCCAGUUGAACAGGAAGCAAGCAAAGGUCUAGCUCCCAUAGUUGAGAUAUUACUUACCCAUGGACUCUUAAAACCCUGCAAUUCUCCCUGCAAUACCCCCAUCUUACCUGUUCUCAAGCCUGGGGGGAAUACCAGCUAGUACAGAACCUCAGAAUAAUGAAUGAGGCUGUUAUCCCCGUCCACCCAUUGGUGGCAGAUCCAUAUGCCCUCCUGGCUCAGGUGCCAGGGCAUGCAAAAUGGUUCUCAGUCCUAGACCUUUCUUCUCCAUUCCUCUGGCCCCGAGCCCCCCAGUACCUUUUUGCUUUCGAAUGGGAAAAUCCUAAUACCAGAUAAAAACAAUACACUUGGACAGUGCUUCCUCAGGGCUUUCGGGAUAGCCCCCACUUCUUUGCCUGAGCAUUAGAGCGGGAUCUGAGGGAUUUCAAGUUAGAAAAUGGAGGUAUUCUUCAGUAUGGGGAUGACCUUGUGUGUAGCCCAACCUAGGAGGUUUCUGACCAAAAUACUAUAAAAACUUUGAAUUUCCUGGCAGACAGAGGAUACAAAGUGUCCAAAAAGAAGGCUCAGAUUACCCUCCAAUGGGUCCACUAUUUAGGAUAUGUCUUAACACCCGGAACCCGGCAAAUAUCCCCAGAAGGAGUGCAAGCUAUAUGUGGUUUGGCCGCGUGCACCACCCCCAGCCCCCACCCUGACCCACCUCCAAGCAGCAGCUUUGUUCCUUUUUGGGGAUGGCCGGGCUUUGGAGAAUAUGAGUACCAAAUUUUGGGCUCAUAGCAAAGCCCCUAUAUGAAGCAACAAGGGGGCCUGAAAAUGAGCUAAUGGAAUGGACCCCGGAAAUGAGGAAAGCCUUUGCCAAGUUAAAACAGGUUCUCACCCAGGCUCCUGCUCUUGGUAUCCCAGACCUAAUUAAGGCCUUCUCCUUGUAUGUAGCAGAGAAGAGGGGCAUAGCUGUGGGAGUGCUAGCCCAGAAAUUAGGAUCAGAACCCAGACCAACCGCCUACUUCUCAAAAAAGUUGGACGGAGUGGCCUCAGGAUGGCCAAGUUGCCUGCGGGCAAUAGCAGCCACUGCUGUUAGUGGAGGAAGCCACUAAAAUCACCCUAGGGCAACCACUGGAAGUUCUAACGCUCCAUCAGGUAAAGUUAGUCUUAGAAAUAAAGGGACACAUCUGGAUGACAGGGGAAAUGUUAACUAAAUACCAGCCCAUGCUCCUAGACAAUCCAGAUAUAACUCUUAAAACCUGCAACACUUUAAAUCCAGCUUCAUUGCUGCCCACAGGCCCAAUAAUUGAUCAUUCCUGUGAGCAGGUCAUUGCACAUACAUAUGUUAGCCAGCCUGAUUUAAAAGAUGAGGCUCUCCCAGAUUCUGAAGCUGACCGGCUCACAGACGGCAGUAGUUCUUUGUCGAAUGGGGAGCACAGAGCUGGAUAUGCAGCAGUAAAUCAUGACACAAUUAUUGAAGCCCAGCCAGUGCCCCCUGGCACAUCAGCACAAAAGGCUAAAAUCAUUGAUCUUACUCAAGCAUUAAUGUUGGGACAAGGGAAAAAACUUAACAUCUAUACAGAUUCUAAAUAUGCAUUCCUUGUGGUUCAUGCUCAUACCGCCAUCAGGAAAGAAAGGGGAUUACUUACUAGCAAGCACUCCCCUAUAGAGCAUGGACCUGAAAUUCUGCAGCUAUUGAAGGCAAUACACCUGCCAAAGGCCAUAGCUAUCAUUCAUUGUAGGGGGCAUCAAAGGGACUUAACCCCUAUAGCACAAGGGAAUGGAAAGGCUGACGGAAGCCAAAGCAAAAGCCCUCAGCGUGCAAUCCCAACAGAUCCUAGCACUGCUUCCUUUCUACAAUUCCCCAGUAGAACCCAAAUACACACCACAGGAAGAACAGCUAAUAAAAAAAGCAAGGGAGACAAAAACAAGGAUCCUGGUGGCAUAUGGAGCCAAAAAUAUAUCUCCCUCAGGCAGCCCAGUGGAGAGUUAUAAAAGCCCUGCAUGACUCUUUCCAUGUGGGGAGGGAUGCGGCUCUGGCCAUGGUAAACAAGUUCUUUACUGGGUUUAACUCAGCUUCAAUGGCUAAGCAGGUCUGUCAAGCCUGCUCACUGUGUGCAUUUAACAAUCCAGGCAUCAAAAUGCCCCCUCUAAUAAAACCAGUCCAAAGGAGGGGAACUUAUCCAGGGGAAGACUGGCAGUUAGACGUCAUCCAUAUGCCAGCUUGCAGAGGAUACAAGCUUUUGUUAAUACUAAUAGAUACUUUUAGGUUGGGUCAAAGGUUACCCCAGAAAAGGCUAAUGAGGUUCUAAGGUCCUCUUAAAAGAAAUAAUUCCCCAGUUUGGGUUACCUCAGGGUCUCCAAAGUGAUAAUGGCUAAUCCUUUAUCUCCCAAAUAACUCAAGGGGUUGCUAAGGCUCUUGGAAUAAAAUACUAUUUACAUUCAGCCUGGAGGCCCCAAUCCUCUGGAAAAGUGGAAAGGGUUAACCAAACUCUAAAAUAAGCACUAGCUAAACUAUGUCAGGAAACAUCAGAAACUUGGGUUAGCUUAUUGCUCACAGCCCUUUUAAGAAUUUGUAAUACCCCUAGCUCAAAAAUUAACAGAAGCCCAUAUAAAAUGUUAUACAGAAGGCCAUUCUUAACUAAUGAUUUAAUUAUUGACCCAGAAAGAGUUGGUGUAAUUAAAUACCUAGUCAACCCAGAACAAUUCCAGCGGGUUUACAAGAGUUUGGAAUUCAAAGGCUCCUCACACUUGGAACUAACCAGCAACCCAAAAUCAGGCCAGGAGAUAGGGUACUUGUUAAAACAUGGAAUGAGGGAUCACCUGCCCAACAAUUACAACCCCAAUAGAAGGGACUUUUUUCAGUAAUACUGGCCACGUCUUCUGUGGUCAAAGUACUAGUAUUAGAUAGCUGGAUACAUCUUUCAAGGAUCAAACCAUCAAUACCAGAAGCUCCAGACCAGGAACCUGAAGUUCCCAUCAGCCAGUACACCUGUGAACCAGUGGAGGACCUGAAGUACCUGUUUAAAAGAUAGCCAAAAGAUAAGUAAAUGCCUACCAACUUUCUUUGGUGUCUUUGUUGCAUAGUUACUGUGGGCUGGAAAAUAGUAGCCAUUUUUAUCUUUGCAGUUUAAUUGCCUUCUUCCAAAUAGAUAAAAAUCACUUCCUUUGUAAUAAUUAAACAGAAUUUAAAAAAUACAUUUCUAUGACAAAUAUUCCUGAUGGCAUAAGUAUCCACCCCAAGGUUCCCAUUAAAUCUUUUAACCUAAAGUAUUUCCUCUCACCUAGAGAUCAUCGAGCUGUGUGACAAGGGUGCCAGCCACUCCAGGUGAAGACACCACCCCAGGCCAUCAAGGAUCUUCCCUACCUUCACUAAACAGAGCAGGGUGAAAGUUGUGUGAUCCCCAAUAGGUAGGGACUACACCCCAAGUCAGCAGGAAGCAGUUACAGAAGAAAGACCAUUGGUCCCUCUGCUUCCCAUAAAGAUUUAUGGGGAUCACAGCUUUCACGGGGGAGAUGAGGCAAGAGAAUAGGGCAUGCAGGCAGGGUACUUGAGGCCAAUCCACGCUGACUUCCUAGAACUGAAUUAAAUGAAAGCUCCUCAGCAAUGACAGGAAUGUGAAUGGCUUUGUAACUUCUUCCUCUCCAUUAAUGCUAUUUCCACUUUGUAACUUCACUUUCAUCCUCUCCAUUUACAUAGAUCACACACCAAGUAACAUCCUCUCCAUUUACAGUAGGGCGCAUUCCGAGUCAAUGACUCUGACUGCACUUCGUUCUCCUCAUUUACAUAGAACAUUCGCCAAGUAACCAAUGGGAAACCUCUAGAGUAUUGAAACUCCAGAAAAUUCCGUAAGUGGGGCUCUUGAGCGUCUACACUCGGGUCGCUCCCACACUGUGGCGUGUACUUUUAUUCUCAAUAAAUUCCCGCUUUUGCUUUCCUCGUUCUGUUUGAGUGUUUUGUCCAAUUCUUUGUUUGAGGCGCCAAGAACCUGGACACCUUCUACCAGUGACACUACCAAUUUUUGAUUCCAUUAAAGAUCACAG